CUGCUGCCUCCCGUAGGAGUCUGGUCCGUGUCUCAGUACCAGUGUGGGGGACCUUCCUCUCAGAACCCCUACGCAUCGUCGGUUAGGUGGGCCGUUACUCCGCCUACUGCCUAAUGCGCCGCAUGCCCAUCCCUGUCCGGCCGAAGCCUUUCCUGCCUCCGGGAUGCCCCGGUGGCAUGUACGCGGGUUUAGCCCGCCUUUCGGCGGUUGUCCCCUGACAGGGGCAGGUUGCAUACGUGUUACUCACCCGUGCGCCGGUCGCCGGCGGAAG
rnacentral:rRNA from 1 species